UUAGAGUUUGAUCWUGGYUCAGGACGAACGCUGGCGGCGUGCCUAAUACAKGCAAGUCGAACGAACUCUGGUAUUGAUUGGUGCUUGCAUCAUGAUUUACAUUUGAGUGAGUGGCGAACUGGUGAGUAACACGUGGGAAACCUGCCCAGAAGCGGGGGAUAACACCUGGAAACAGAUGCUAAUACCGCAUAACAACUUGGACCGCAUGGUCCGAGUUUGAAAGAUGGCUUCGGCUAUCACUUUUGGAUGGUCCCGCGGCGUAUUAGCUAGAUGGUGRGGUAACGGCUCACCAUGGCAAUGAUACGUAGCCGACCUGAGAGGGUAAUCGGCCACAUUGGGACUGAGACACGGCCCAAACUCCUACGGGAGGCAGCAGUAGGGAAUCUUCCACAAUGGACGAAAGUCUGAUGGAGCAACGCCGCGUGAGUGAAGAAGGGUUUCGGCUCGUAAAACUCUGUUGUUAAAGAAGAACAUAUCUGAGAGUAACUGUUCAGGUAUUGACGGUAUUUAACCAGAAAGCCACGGCUAACUACGUGCCAGCAGCCGCGGUAAUACGUAGGUGGCAAGCGUUGUCCGGAUUUAUUGGGCGUAAAGCGAGCGCAGGCGGUUUUUUAAGUCUGAUGUGAAAGCCUUCGGCUCAACCGAAGAAGUGCAUCGGAAACUGGGAAACUUGAGUGCAGAAGAGGACAGUGGAACUCCAUGUGUAGCGGUGAAAUGCGUAGAUAUAKGAAGAACACCAGUGGCGAAGGCGGCUGUCKGUCUGUAACKACGCKAGGYCGAACGA
rnacentral:rRNA from 1 species